rnacentral:rRNA from 1 species
GACGAACGCUGGCGGCGUGCCUAAUACAUGCAAGUCGAACGCAGUGGGGACGGGUGAGUAACACGUGGGUAACCUCCCAUCAGAGGGGAUAACACUUGGAAACAGGUGCUAAACCGAUACUGAUGGAUGGACCCGCGGUGCAUUAGCGAGUUGGGUAGGUAACGGCUCACCAAGGCCACGAGGCAUAGCCGACCUUGACGGUGGUUCGGCCACACUGGGACUGAGACACGGCCCAGCGUCCGACGGGAGGCAGCAUGAGGGAAUCUUCUGCAAUGUACGAAAGUCUGACCGAGCAACGCCGCGUGAGUGAAGAAGGUUUGCGGAUCGUAAAACUCUGUUGUUAGAGAAGCGGUAUCUAACCAGAAAGCCACGGCUAACUACGUGCCAGCAGCCGCGGUAAUAC